rnacentral:rRNA from 1 species
UCCUGUACUUGGUGUUACUGCGAAGGGGGGACGGAGAAGGCUAUGUUGGCCGGGCGACGGUUGUCCCGGUUUAAGCGUGUAGGCUGGUUUUCCAGGCAAAUCCGGAAAAUCAAGGCUGAGGCGUGAUGACGAGGCACUACGGUGCUGAAGCAACAAAUGCCCUGCUUCCAGGAAAAGCCUCUAAGCAUCAGGUAACAUCAAAUCGUACCCCAAACCGACACAGGUGGUCAGGUAGAGAAUACCAAGGCGCUUGAGAGAACUCGGGUGAAGGAACUAGGCAAAAUGGUGCCGUAACUUCGGGAGAAGGCACGCUGAUAUGUAGGUGAGGUCCCUCGCGGAUGGAGCUGAAAUCAGUCGAAGAUACCAGCUGGCUGCAACUGUUUAUUAAAAACACAGCACUGUGCAAACACGAAAGUGGACGUAUACGGUGUGACGCCUCCCCGGUGCCGGAAGGUUAAUUGAUGGGGUUAGCGCAAGCGAAGCUCUUGAUCGAAGCCCUGGUAAACGGCGGCCGUAACUAUAACGGUCCUAAGGUAGCGAAAUUCCUUGUCGGGUAAGUUCCGACCUGCACGAAUGGCGUAAUGAUGGCCAGGCUGUCUCCACCCGAGACUCAGUGAAAUUGAACUCGCUGUGAAGAUGCAGUGUACCCGCGGCAAGACGGAAAGACCCCGUGAACCUUUACUAUAGCUUGACACUGAACAUUGAGCCUUGAUGUGUAGGAUAGGUGGGAGGCUUUGAAGUGUGGACGCCAGUCUGCAUGGAGCCGACCUUGAAAUACCACCCUUUAAUGUUUGAUGUUCUAACGUUGACCCGUAAUCCGGGUUGCGGACAGUGUCUGGUGGGUAGUUUGACUGGGGCGGUCUCCUCCUAAAGAGUAACGGAGGAGCACGAAGGUUGGCUAAUCCUGGUCGGACAUCAGGAGGUUAGUGCAAUGGCAUAAGCCAGCUUGACUGCGAGCGUGACGGCGCGAGCAGGUGCGAAAGCAGGUCAUAGUGAUCCGGUGGUUCUGAAUGGAAGGGCCAUCGCUCAACGGAUAAAAGGUACUCCGGGAUAACAGGCUGAUACCGCCCAAGAGUUCAUAUCGACGGCGGUGUUUGGCACCUCGAUGUCGGCUCAUCACAUCCUGGGGCUGAAGUAGGUCCCAAGGGUAUGGCUGUUCGCCAUUUAAAGUGGUACGCGAGCUGGGUUUAGAACGUCGUGAGACAGUUCGGUCCCUAUCUGCCGUGGGCGCUGGAGAACUGAGGGGGGCUGCUCCUAGUACGAGAGGACCGGAGUGGACGCAUCACUGGUGUUCGGGUUGUCAUGCCAAUGGCACUGCCCGGUAGCUAAAUGCGGUAGAGAUAAGUGCUGAAAGCAUCUAAGCACGAAACUUGCCCCGAGAUGAGUUCUCCCUGACCCUUUAAGGGUCCUGAAGGAACGUUGAAGACGACGAC